CCGGGCCCGCCGGCGGAACCCGCGCCCUGGCCCCGCAGCCUCCCGCAGGCACGGCAGGGGGUCCCGGGGAUAAGGACCGUCCUAGCUCCGGCGGGUGUUGUGGAGGGUGCGGAUGGCGCUGCCCGAGCAGCGGGGGCCGCAGGGUGUUCGUCAGGGCAACGCCGGGCACUUUGAGGUUUUCUCCUAAGAUCUUGAACUUUGGUGUGAAAUCCUGGCUUUACUUCGGUCACUGAAAAUCAGUCCAGUUGACUUCAGAGAGAUUCAGAAACUGACAUCCGCUGACUGGAUCUGCCUAGGGUGAAGAAGAACACACAACACUUAAAUACAAAGCUUCUUCCUCUAAGUAACUACAUUGUCAUGUAUCCCUAAGUUAUAUGCAGGUGAAGGCUCUGAAACCCUGUUUGAGAAGCUUCUUGCAUAGUAUUUAAAAUGUUAUGAACAUCUUUAUAAAUAUCAUUAUGAGGAAAAACUGAUGAUUCUACUUCUGAACUCUGAUCCCGUCUCCCUUAAGGGAGCACAAACAGAGCUGGAGGAAAAAUGAUUGAGCGAAGUAACAGAAAAUGCAGCCUUUGUCUCUGACUGCCAUGGAAGACUGAGCUGUUUCGAAAGUAAAGCCAGACAGCACGGCUUUAGCAGCCACUUCAUGACCUGGCAAAGCAUUAUGCUACUGAAAAACUUGUUUCUCCUUUGCUCUUUUACUCCAGGCUCUCACCCAGGAAAGAAAAGGGUGGAGUUCUUUUGCUGGACUAAACCAGACUCAGGAGACAGAGAGCAAAAAUGGGAAAGGUAAAGGGCAUGAUGAUAAAGGUAAAGAUGAUACCAAAUAACUCCAUGACAGUGACUUUAGCAUACUUUUGUGACUCCAGGCUGCAGGACCUUUGGAUGUGGCCAUGCUUUCAGGUACACACAUAAUUACACACAAUCAAUUAGAUUGGAAAAGACCUCUGAGAUCAUCAAGUCCAACCUAUGACUAAACACCACACUGUCAACUAGACCAUGGCACUAAGUGCCAC